AAAGUAGUAAGUUAUUUAAACUAUUGGCUUUCAAAUCCGAAAAAGAUUUUUCCUACUUUG
rnacentral:tRNA from 1 species